rnacentral:lncRNA from 1 species
AUCCGGAUGUUGACGGCUGUGCGCGGGUGUUCGUCGGGGACUCGGGGCCACAAACACCACCGCGGCUGGUAUGUGUAUCCCAGCUAGAGAUCACUUGUUGCACUUUGUCAAGAAAGCGCCGUGCUCAGACCGAAGGAUGGCGUCAGCCAGUGGCAAGCUCAGUGACGACACUGCUAGGGUGGCCACUUUCCACGGUGCUGGUCCAGUGGGCACAGAACUUCGAACUCGGCAUAUUUUAUUUGGACGAAGAAGCAAACUCCAAGCCUACAACACUUGCCUAAAGGGACAGCCAUCCUGGAGUGGUUGACCAGCUAAAUGUCAACCUGACUGGAGGCUUCUCUUCCUUGAAACUGACAUGGCGUGAUGAUGGACAACACACGUGCUACCGGUCUCAGUGAAGAUCGGCAAUCCUGGCGGCUGUAUGAAGUGCUUCCCAUCACUUGAUGGCAGCUAUGUAGAGCAUCACAUACAUUUUCCAAGCAGCUUCUCUACAAUGGAGAGGCUUUCCUGGCAACUUUUUCGCUAUGGUCAGCGCUUGCCUCUGACGGCUCAGCAGGUCACUCCUACUGUGCUGUGCCACCAGACGAAUAUGGUGAUCGUCUGUUCUUUGUGAACUACACCCAACCGAAUCCACCCGGACAGACUCGCCCAACCUACGGUGCAUGUACAUUAUCAAUGGUAAUGUCAACCCUAGGUGACUACUUAAUGUUCCGGCUGUUUGACACUGUCGUCUUUAGCGAGCGAAGGAGUACUAACAGGAACAACGAUCACCUUCCGCCUAUCUACACCUCGCAGGUGUGUAAGUGCUUUUCUUUAUACGCUGAACAAAAGUGACAAUCUCUGUCUGCUGCUACUUUCACGCCCACAUGUCCUUUGGGAUAUUAUUUGCGAGUGUUUUGAUAUGCAUGUCUGUGUUUUGUGGCAACAUUGAAAAUAAUCCUGCGCCUACUACUCUGUCAGAACAUCUUCUUGAAACUCGGUCAUUACCUGAUAAGCCCUCGGAACAAAUAACAGUCCUUUUUCAGCUACUGAAGAUGUUUGGUCGCAAUCUAUUCAGUCCUCAAGAAGCCAGACUGAAUUGGUUGCCAAUGUCAAAGCAAUCAAGGCCAGUAAAAAAAAUAGCUGAAUUAAUAUUGGCUGUAUUCAAGAAAGACUAGAUGCUCUUUAAGAAAAAGCAAAUUCACUUGAACAGUUUAAGGAACAUGUUGCAGUUCUCCAAAAAAUCUAUAUAUAGACCUGGAACACACAACUUGAUUCUUUGCAAUCUCGUUUUAAAGGGGCCCUGCAACACUUUUUCAACGUGAUCAGAAAAUGCUGCUAAUCGGUAGUUGAAGCUCCAGAGAACACGCGAGCCAAACAUUUAUAGCGCAGCACGCGGCCUGGAAUUUACAGUUAAUUCUUAAAGUCAGCUAGAAAUCGUUCCCUCUUCUCUUGGUGAACAAUGCUUUUAAACCUAAGUGACCGCGGCAUAAACCCAAAGUCCACGGCAAUUCGCUGAUUUGAGCAUCGUGAGCUGCGUAUAUUUACCGCGGCCUCCGCAAGAUGCCACGACAUGCCUGCACCCACACUUGCAAUCACACUGAAAUAAGCUGAGCAUUCAAAGAAAAAAAGAACAGAAAGUGCUUGAGGUUGUGAUACGCACUGACGAAGAGACGCAUCUUCUUGCCCCCUUGUCAUCCCCCUCUCUGCACGCUCACUACUGUACUAGCAAGCUUCAUGUGCGGAAAGGAGGGAGAAAACACUUGAAGGCAUGCGACAAAUCCCUGUAACUCCGCUUGUACUUGAUGGAUUCUAAAAAUUUUCAUGGCAGUCGAUUCAUGAGGCAAUGAGCUCGUUUAAUGAAGCAGAAUUACUUGGAAAAGUGUUGCAGGGCCCCUUUAAAGGGAUGCUAAAGGCAAUUAUGUUAAAAGUCGACAUUGAUUGCUGAAAUAACAUUCCAGAAACCUUAUAGUGCUUGUUUCGUGCCAAGGAAAUGAUUAUUUUCAAAGAAAAUCGCGUGUUAGUGGUCCGCACGACGUUAGUACACUUCAAAUCGCCCGCUUGAAAAGGCCUCCUGACGUAGCGUUUGCCUUGCCUAGUGUUGCCCGCCUUUGCUGCCCGGCAGUCGACGCUGCAGUUUCUGCUCUGAAGGGCACAUUACAAGCCUUGCCCAAGUUGCAGUUGAUCUCGUAGUCCUCUACACGAAAGUGCAGCGGGCACACACGCAGAUUUCUUGGCUGUUUAGCACACUGUCGCAGAGGCACGGCACUCAGCCACUUUGGCGUGGGUUUAUUUGAGGCACCCAUUGGAAAGUCACGUCAGUUUCUUUGCGGCAGCUGUUGUUGCUCAAGCAGCGCACACCAUUCAGGCAUCCGG